rnacentral:tRNA from 1 species
GCGGUCGUGGUGAAAUUGGUAGACACGCUGUCUUCAGGCGGCAGUGGGGCAACCCUUGGAGGUUCGAGUCCUCUCGACCGCACCA